rnacentral:tRNA from 1 species
AUUUAUAUAAUAUAAGUUUAUUAUAUUUGACUUCCAAUCAAAUUAUCUAGAAAUAGUAUAAAUA